rnacentral:rRNA from 1 species
UACAGAGGGGGCAAGCGUUGUUCGGAAUUACUGGGCGUAAAGGGCGCGUAGGCGGCCUUCUAAGUCGAACGUGAAAUCCCCGGGCUCAACCCGGGAACUGCGUCCGAUACUGGGAGGCUUGAAUCCGGGAGAGGGAUGCGGAAUUCCAGGUGUAGCGGUGAAAUGCGUAGAUAUCGGAAGGAACACCAGUGGCGAAGGCGGCUUCCUGGACUAAUACUGACGCUGAGGUGCGAAAGCGUGGGGAGCAAACAGG